GAUGAGCGCUGGCGGCGUGCCUAAUACAUGCAAGUAGAACGCUGAAGCUUGGUGCUUGCACCGAGCGGAUGAGUUGCGAACGGGUGAGUAACGCGUAGGUAACCUGCCUCUUAGCGGGGGAUAACUAUUGGAAACGAUAGCUAAUACCGCAUAAAAGUCGAUAUCGCAUGAUAUUGAUUUGAAAGGUGCAAUUGCAUCACUAAGAGAUGGACCUGCGUUGUAUUAGCUAGUUGGUGAGGUAACGGCUCACCAAGGCAACGAUACAUAGCCGACCUGAGAGGGUGAUCGGCCACACUGGGACUGAGACACGGCCCAGACUCCUACGGGAGGCAGCAGUAGGGAAUCUUCGGCAAUGGGGGCAACCCUGACCGAGCAACGCCGCGUGAGUGAAGAAGGUUUUCGGAUCGUAAAGCUCUGUUGUAAGAGAAGAACGAGUGUGAGAGUGGAAAGUUCACACUGUGACGGUAACUUACCAGAAAGGGACGGCUAACUACGUG
rnacentral:rRNA from 1 species